UUAUCGCAUGCUCAGUCGAAAUUUCCAAUUAGACAGACUGCCAUGUCCUUUGACGGAAGCACCAUACUAAGCUGUUGCGAGAUGGAGCAAUAUGGCGGUGGGAUGCUGUAUCAACUUCCUAAAUAUAUUCAAGUGGGUCUAUUGGAAGACCUUUAUUGAUGCUCAUUUUGUUGUUUCAUUAGAGGCUGACAUGGUUAAUUGUUAAAUUAUGUAGGACAUAAAUUAAGAGAUGACCAAUUCCAUGAACCCUCAGUCAAAGCCUGACAAAAUGUGUUGGAGUAGACCUACAGGUCGGCGAAGAUGCUUAAUUUAUGAUAUUUGCAUAUUACAAUAGGAAAGUUGCAUAUAGUUUAUCCAUUAA